UGUUUUUUUCCUCCCGUUCCCCUUCUCCUUCCCUGUUCCACUUCUCUGUCAUAAAAAACCUCUGUUUCUCUUCAAAACAAAAAACCCGAUAAUGACUUUCUUCUCCAUUGUUUCACAAACAUGAGAACAACGACUACACAAUGCACUCGGCAGAGAGGCUCCACAGCACCAUGGAGAUCUGUGGUGGAUUGACCCAAGAGACAACUCUCCACUUCCACCCAUUUGCACGGAUGGGUUUGCUUGAAGCUUUUCUCUCUGUCUUUGGAACACUGAAAACUUGCAGCUACAAAGGCAUCAUGUCUGCGCCCGAGUCAAUUGGAAACAACACUCAGAAAAAGCUUAUAAAAAUAGUUAUCAGUUUAGACACUGUGUGUCCAUGGUGCUUUGUGGGCAAAAAAAAUCUUGACAAAGCUAUAGCUGCAUCUAAGGAUCACUAUGACUUUAAGGUUUUUAGGGGCCAUGGAUUGGAAUAUAACCUUUCAGGACUCACGGGAAAUACUCUAGACAACCACAGGCUUAUGCAUUUCGCUGGGCAAUAGGGUCUUGAUAAGCAACAUAAUCUUAUGGAGGUGCUCUCUCUUGGCUACUUCACUCAGGCAAAAUUUAUUGGUGACAAAUUGUCAGAUUGAUCGCUACUCAUUCUCUCUCAAUCACGCGCUAUAGUCCACCCCCUCAAUCUUUGCCUUUUAUCGACGCCACCACCAAGAGAUGAAGUGGAAUACUCUAAUUUCAUCACAGCAAAGACCCCAGCUUCUUUUCCAAUUUCCUCCUUCAGUAACCCAUGGAUUAUUUUCUGCUUUCUGUUAUGCACAGCGAAAGACCAAAUCUAUAUAGUUUAGAAGCUGUCUGCAAAUUCCAGCAAUAGCAAAGUGAAAAGGGAAAAGAAAGCUAUGAGUAAUGGACACAGAUAUGAGUUAUUAAAAUACUAAACAAUUGUAUCUUUUUGGUGAUUUGCUAUUGUACUUGCUGCAUGCAAAAUGAGAAUUACUAUAGUUCACAAUCGAAUGAGUUUUACCAUAGUCAACAAAUGAGUUUCUUUUGGAACAUCUGACUCCUCCUGCCAACAGUUUGAAGCCAUGUCAUAUCAUGUACAACAAUGAAGAUGACAAUGGGAGAGAUAUUUUCCAAAGAUUAUAUUGAAAUUUUAUUGUUUAAUAGAUUGUGCUGAUUUUUUUUUCGACCCAAUUCUUUUUAUGUAAAUAAUUAUAUUAGAGGGUACUUGUGUCUGUUUUGUAUUCUAUAUUUGAUUGCAUUGUAGUUUAGAUGAGUCUUUGGGUUUGGAAUAGGAUAUGGAGUUCAUACAUAACCCAUUUUGGUCCUUAAUUGUAUUGUGGAAAAAUUUAUUGCAGAGAGAUGAUUAGAGUCAAAAUAAUUAUGCUGCUACGACA